rnacentral:snoRNA from 14 species
UACCAAACCUUUUUGUCAGGGUGCUUCUCUAUCCGUUUUAGGAUAAACUUAUCUACAGAAGUGUCUGUUACUGUUUUGGAAGAGUAAUACUGUUCGCUUAUCCAUAUUUCCCCGUUCUGGGGAAGCCUAAUGGGUAAAUUAGAAGGACAACCUUUGUUUUAAAGGUAUACCUUCGCUUUUUAGAACAGUGAGGAUCUUAUGAGUUGAGCUUUUGUUACUUGAGACUUUAUCUCGGGCUCCAUACAAUAUGUUCGUAGUAAAGAUCCUCACAAUU